AACAGCCGCGCAAGGUGCGAAUGCUGGGCUAUGCCACGUAGGAUAUUUACUAUAGUACACAUUAACAGUCGCGCAAGGUGCGAAUGCUGGGCUAUGCCACGUAGGAUAUUUACUAUAGUAGGAAUUGCUUGUUUACUCCAGAUAACACCUCCCCCUACUGUGCAACACAGUCGGUGGAAGAAAAAAACAAAGGGUGGCCCGACGCAUGGGCGAUCCCUCUUGUUCGCCUCUCUCUCGAUCCUCUCUCCACCUCUCCGCCGCCGGCAAAUUCCCGCCGCUGCCGGCGGUCUCCGGCGCCGCCCAGCACUCCCUCGAGGUCUCCUCGGUCCGGUCUAUCUCCUUCACCCACUCGAUUCGAUGCUCGCCUCCUCCUCCUGCGCUCGUGGCUAACCCUAGCCACAGCUAUCGUCGGCGUGGCUCCGACGCCUCCUGGCGCUCACCGAGGCCGUCGAACGCGAGGGCAUGUACGAUCUGUGCCCUCUUGAGAGGAGUCAACCCUCAUAUGGUUCUGCACCAAGGUCGGGGGACGCUCGGCCCGUCCUCUUCAACGCCGUGGCCCGCCAAGGUCGGCGAGGAGGUCCCCGGCAUGCUCGAGGCCACCGCCAGACGGAGCACGCCGUCGCCACCGCACGGUCUUCCUCCUUCGUAACCGAUCCUCUGCCCAUCCUCUCUUCUCCCCACGGGAUAGCCAGCAGCCCACCUUGUGCUUGAGUCAUGGAGAGGCAGGCGGCAGGUGUGGAUGAGGAGAUCCACCACAGAGGACGCGAGGUGAGAUGGGAAAAAGAUGCAAGGUUGUUGGCUUGUCCAUGAUGCUGGUGCUGAUGCGGACACCGUGGCUGUCGUUUCCUCUGCACACCGAUUGGCCAUCCCAGGUUUACUAUUGGUUCUAUUUCAUUCAUGUGUCUAGUUGCUCAGAUAUUGUGUUUAUUGGUCGUUUAGGUUAGGCUUGAUUCUGAAUUGAAACAUGGCACAUCAUCCUCUCGAUGCUAAAGAAGAUGCUUUCUUAAUUAAAAAAAUGAAGUGAACAAGUAGUGAUUUCUUAAUUUCAAUGCGAGACAUGAAUGGAUUUCACAAAUCUCCAUCAGUGGAAGGCCCUGUGUCAUUAGAUGGAUUUGGUUUGGAUACACUACUCCUUUAAUACUCAUGGUGGUAUAGAGUUUUUAGAUGGUACUUGUUCUUUGUUUAGGGAUCGCAUUUGCCUGUGGAGAUCAGACAAAGCAUAAUCUCUUAAAAAAAGUGGCUUUGAAUAUUCUCGGUUGAUGUAAUAUCCGCACACAGUUAAUUUGUUAUCACCCAUUUCUAACUUUGUAUUCAUGUCCUGACCCAAUUUUUUAGCCCUUUGAUGCUACCACUUCUGGUUCUUGAUUGCCAAGGUGGUCCUUUUGGGGUGCAAAUGACUAAAGGCUCCUGCUUCAUGACGAACACCUUGAAUCUACAUUUUUCAGUUCUGGUGGAACUUAGAACAUCACAUUGCAAGGACUGGCUUUUGAUUGAUCUAACCAUACACUACAGAGUACAGACUACAGAUUAGGUGUUUUUAUUGAUUGGUAAUGUAUCUGGUGUUGUCUUCGGUUGAUGGUAUUGCCAUUGAUAUUUCUGUCUUAGUGCAGAGAACUCGUCGAAGAUAAUCCAUGCCAUCGUGUGGCAUCGAUCUCCAUCGUCCUCGUCCUAUAGGAGCGAGCUGGGAGCAAGCUCAAACAGUUUGUCGUGGACAGAGAAGAGUGAGACUAAUAAGAGGCAUAUAUCCGAUGACUACGGUGGGAUGAAGUCGGGAAGUCACUCGCAGACGUUAGGGAGAUUGUAUGCCUGGGAGAAGAAACUGUAUGAAGAAGUCAAGGCCAUAGAUCAAAUCUGACAAGAGAAGAAAUGUGUGCAGCUGAGGAACCAAGACGCCAAAGGUGCACAGCUGCACUGUGCUGAAAAAACCAGGACAAAUGUAAGAGACCUGUACACAAGGAUCUGGGUUUCUCUACGAGCAGCAGAAUCGAGAUCUGAUAGACUACAAAAAUUACAGGACGGGGAGCUCAGUGUGAAGAACAAGACUCAGGUUAGUUUGGUGUUCUUUCAUGUGUUGAGACCUCAGCUCAGCAACGACCAGUUUUCUGCAGUAUUACUCACUGCUCUCUUCACUUUUUUUUUGAAUUGAAUGCCUGCCAGUGUUUCUCCUGCUUGCGCUGGCUAAAAAACUAAUCAACUUAGUUGCAUGUUGAACUGUAAUUUCGUGGAUUGCCUUUGGUGGUGAUGCAUUGUGUUUUGUCCUCUUAGUAUGCAAAGUUAAGUGCACCGUCACGUAAUAUAUGAGUAAUUAACCAUGGUUUAGGAAGUUUCAAGAGGUUCAGAAAGCUUAUGAGGAACUUGAUUUUUGUUCAACGUGGAUGCUCAUAUAUACAUUUUUGUCUCUUCUCUGUAUACUUUGAAGAAUGAAGAAAAAGAACGCUCUAUGAUUAGGUAACAAUUUAAUCCCUCCGAUUAUAGACGUCUAUGGCCGUUUCUUUCUAUAUGUUCAUGAGUUACAAAGAAUUAAUUUAUUGAAACUUAAGAUAAUUAGACAACAAUACAUUUUGAGUAUAUUUUGGAUAGGAUAAAGGAGGAGAUUAAUUCCAUUUCUUGUAUCAAUGGAAUGAUGUACGGAAAAGCCGUCUUUCCGGUAUUUGUGUUUUGGAAAUGCCCUCUUACAUGUUAUUUCACUUUUAGUCCAACAUGUAGCUGCUCGUGAUCGAUGCGCUUACUAUUACUGUUUUUCGUGUUCGCUUCUCUCACAAAAUAGGGGUUGCAAGUUUGAGUACCUUCUCAAAGUAUGCUACUGAAUCUAUCUAUGGUAAGUCUGCAACCUAGAAUUUGCUCCUGCCUACUACAUUUACAAUGGUUUCAUCAAGAAUAAUUAUGCCCUACGUGGUACAAUGCCCUUACACUUUCAGAUUUAGCAGUAGUUAGAGAAAUAUAAAUAUCAGGUAGAUUGACUACUUUGACACAUAGGUGAGAUUAAAAAAAUACAACUGCUGAAACUCUUUCUGCGCUAUACGAGGUGGUAUUCAGUUCCUUUGGAUUGCAUGGUAAAAACAUCUCUUGCUUCGGAAUAACAUGAUCAUUCUUCAUGAAGUGCUUCCUAGGGAUAACUCCGCUCUCCCACGCAGCCACACCAACGUCACCUUGAGGGACGAGUGGGUGGGAGGAGAAGGCGGCGCCGACGGUUUAAAUCUGUGAUCUGCCUUGACGUGGCAGGCGGCGAAUCAGUCCAGUCAAAAUGGCAAGGUCACAACGGCUCAUCUACAUGCGACAUACUCUUUCCUCCGGUGUCUACGACGACGACCACUACUUCUGCGAUGCCUGUGAGAGUGACGUGGUCUGCAUCAAGGGUUAUUACAAUGGCAUAGAUCAGCAGCUGCUCGAGCAGGCGAUGAUGAAGGCGAGCGUCGACUCGGUUGGGGGUGGCGGACGGCAGUGAGGAUGCAAGGUUGAACGUGAAAGCUGACUAAUUCAUUGCAAAGUUCUACGCAUAGAUGAAACUGCAACAGCAAUCAUCGUUGGAGCAUCUGCUAGGUACAUAGUGUUUAGAUUGUCUGUUUAUUUGUUGAGUUUGAUUCACUUUUGGAGAAGCCACUGGAUGUGUAAUUAUACCAUGUAACCAACUAUAAUGACUGCUGACUUUAAUCAACUUUUAUCUCUAUAAUGAAUUCCGCCCUA